GCUAUAGAAAGAUAAUAGUUAUCUAUU
rnacentral:tRNA from 1 species